rnacentral:rRNA from 1 species
GAGUUUGAUCCUGGCUCAGGACGAACGCUGGCGGCGUGCUUAACACAUGCAAGUCGAACGAAGAGCGAUGGAAGCUUGCUUCUAUCAAUCUUAGUGGCGAACGGGUGAGUAACGCGUAAUCAACCUGCCCUUCAGAGGGGGACAACAGUUGGAAACGACUGCUAAUACCGCAUACGAUCCAAUCUCGGCAUCGAGACUGGAUGAAAGGUGGCCUCUAUUUAUAAGCUAUCACUGAAGGAGGGGAUUGCGUCUGAUUAGCUAGUUGGAGGGGUAACGGCCCACCAAGGCGAUGAUCAGUAGCCGGUCUGAGAGGAUGAACGGCCACAUUGGGACUGAGACACGGCCCAGACUCCUACGGGAGGCAGCAGUGGGGAAUCUUCCGCAAUGGACGAAAGUCUGACGGAGCAACGCCGCGUGAGUGAUGACGGCCUUCGGGUUGUAAAGCUCUGUUAAUCGGGACAAAUGGUUCUUGUGCGAAUAGUGCGAGGAUUUGACGGUACCGGAAUAGAAAGCCACGGCUAAC